CUCAUCACAGGUGUAUGGGAAACUCACUAUAAUAAGCUGGGAGUGGGUAACAUGGCCUCCCUGGUCCGGGCAUAGCUGAAGUUCCUUAAGGAAAGGAGAAAACCCCAUGUUUAGCAUUACUGGAAAUUGAAGUUACUGCUUCAUUGGUAGCACAGUGACAUUUCAGGAUUCAUCCAUGACUGGCCGGUCAACAAAGUAUUGUCUGUAUAUGGAACUGGAUCCUUUUAACUAGAAAUUUAUUGCAUGCAUCAAAGAAAGUUGAAUAACUGCAAAGUGCAUUACGUUUCAAAGUAAUGCACUGAACCCAGAUCUCCACCAGCGCAACUCCACUGAUGAUGAUGGUUGCUUCAGGUUUACAGCUGUGCAGGACCAGGACCAGACGUGGACUGCUGUAAUUCUGCAGUGUCCUGCAGCCACUAAGUUGGUAACCCUGAGCAAGAGCACCAACUGCCAGCAGUUCUCUCCGAGAAAGGAGGGCGCCCCCUCCCACUGCAAGCAACACAGACAGUCAUCUCAGCAUUAAUAAGGACCAUCACUCAGCAGAGCUGCCCGCCGGUCCCCCCGUGAUGAACCCCCUGCUCCUGAGCGAGAGGAUGAGGCAUGGCUCCUGGGUGCCUCUCAGCCAGAGUUCAGGCCAGGACAAAAGUGGUAAAUGUGAAUACCCCAGCCGUUUCCCUGACUGGAAGAAGGCCCCAUAAAAACCCUGGAGAUGCCACCAGCUCAGCCAGGAAGAGCCUCGUCUGGUGCAAAAUGGAGCAGCCCUGCCCAGGGACUGGCUCACGCCUCCUCAUGCAGCUGGAGAAGUGUCCAUAGCUGGGACUUAACUGGUGUGUAAUUAAGUCCAUCCCUUAAUACUGUCCAAAGCACCACUUUGGCACCUCACGCUGCCUUACAGCUUAUUCAAGCCUGUCAAUUUGUUGUGCUGGUCACCUAAUACUCCUUCCUUACACUCCAAAAACCCAGCUGAAAUCUGGACAGCAGGAAACUUGGGCAGCGCCAUAAAGCCCCUGGAUUAUUUGCAACGCCUCGCAACAAAACCUAAGUGGGUGCUCUGGAGAAGUGUUGACUAAUCUUUUCCUGUCUCCUAAUCAGCUGGAAAUCUAUCAGUGUAAAAUAUCAUCUGGCUGAGUAAGAGCUACUUCUCAGCCCUCUCAGGCAGCCUAAGAGAACUGAGCUACAGCCUGGCUUCUCGUCCUGGUUCUCAUCCCUCAAACUACAAAUCCAGAUCGAGGAAGAGUCUUUAAAUAUGUGCUAGCCCUGAAUCAUGCCAGCAGCGUCUUUGAAGUCACUGAAGACUUUAUGUUAAACGCUUCUCUCCCACAGUUCUAAAAUAGCCACUGGUACAGCAAGCAUCAAAUGAGCAUGUGGCUUCCCAAGUAGCAAAGCAUUCACUGGUCAAGUCUCCAAAAAAUAAAUAAAUAAAUAAA